GUGUCGUUUUUCGAAAUUUGUUAACUUAAUAUAAUAGAAGAUGUUUCGUUUUAAAUUAAGAAAUGUUAAAAUUAUUAAGCUAAAAACAUUUGAUUUUAAUGACACUUAAAAUUAGACACAAUAUUAAAGGUUACUAACUAAAAAUUAAAAAAACAACAAUAAAUAAUAAAAAAUAAUAAUAAAAAAUUGAAAAAAUCAAAAAAUUCUUAAAAAAUUGCAAAAUAACCCUUUUUUGGGUUAAAAUUGCAAAAUAACCCUUUUUCGGGUUAAAAUUGAAAAAUAACCCUUUUUCGGGUUAAAAUUGAAAAAAGAUGUUACAUAAAAAAAGUUUGUAAGAUUUUCUAACAGCAUAUAUGCAAAGUAUUUUGAUUUAUUUGAAAAUAAUUGAAAAUAGAUUUUUCAAGGACUGUGUCGAGGUCACGGGGUCGGUGUCGUUUUUCGAAAUUUGUUAACUUAAUAUAAUAGAAGAUGUUUCGUUUUAAAUUAAGAAAUGUUAAAAUUAUUAAGUUAAAAACAUUUGAUUUUAAUGACACUUAAAAUUAGACACAAUAUUAUAGGUUACUAACUAAAAAUUAAAAAAACAACAAUAAAUAAUAAAAAAUAAUAAUAAAAAAUUGAAAAAAUCAAAAAAUUCUUAAAAAAUUGCAAAAUAACCCUUUUUCGGGUUAAAAUUGAAAAAAGAUGUUACAUAAAAAUAGUUUGUAAGAUUUUCUAACAGCAUAUAUGCAAAGUAUUUUGAUUUAUUUGAAAAUAAUUGAAAAUAGAUUUUUCAAGGACGGUGUCGAGGUCACGGGGUCGGUGUCGUUUUUCGAAAUUUGUUAACUUAAUAUAAUAGAAGAUGUUUCGUUUUAAAUUAAGAAAUGUUAAAAUUAUUAAGCUAAAAACAUUUGAUUUUAAUGACACUUAAAAUUAGACACAAUAUUAAAGGUUACUAACUAAAAAUUAAAAAAACAACAAUAAAUAAUAAAAAAUAAUAAUAAAAAAUUGAAAAAAUCAAAAAAUUCUUAAAAAAUUGCAAAAUAACCCUUUUUUGGGUUAAAAUUGAAAAAUAACCCUUUUUCGGGUUAAAAUUGAAAAAAGAUGUUACAUAAAAAAAGUUUGUAAGAUUUUCUAACAGCAUAUAUGCAAAGUAUUUUGAUUUAUUUGAAAAUAAUUGAAAAUAGAUUUUUCAAGGACUGUGUCGAGGUCACGGGGUCGGUGUCGUUUUUCGAAAUUUGUUAACUUAAUAUAAUAGAAGAUGUUUCGUUUUAAAUUAAGAAAUGUUAAAAUUAUUAAGUUAAAAACAUUUGAUUUUAAUGACACUUAAAAUUAGACACAAUAUUAUAGGUUACUAACUAAAAAUUGAAAAAACAACAAUAAAUAAUAAAAAAUAAUAAUAAAAAAUUGAAAAAAUUAAAAAAUUCUAAAAAAAUUGCAAAAUAACCCUUUUUCGGGUUAAAAUUGCAAAAUAACCCUUUUUCGGGUUAAAAUUGAAAAAUAACCCUUUUUCGGGUUAAAAUUGAAAAAAGAUGUUACAUAAAAAAAGUUUGUAAGAUUUUCUAACACCAUAUAUGCAAAGUAUUUUGAUUUAUUUGAAAAUAAUUGAAAAUAGAUUUUUCAAGGACGGUGUCGAGGUCACGGGGUCGGUGUCGUUUUUCGAAAUUUGUUAACUUAAUAUAAUAGAAGAUGUUUCGUUUUAAAUUAAGAAAUGUUAAAAUUAUUAAGCUAAAAACAUUUGAUUUUAAUGACACUUAAAAUUAGACACAAUAUUAUAGGUUACUAACUAAAAAUUAAAAAAACAACAAUAAAUAAUAAAAAAUAAUAAUAAAAAAUUGAAAAAAUCAAAAAAUUCUUAAAAAAUUGCAAAAUAACCCUUUUUCGGGUUAAAAUUGAAAAAAGAUGUUACAUAAAAAAAGUUUGUAAGAUUUUCUAACAGCAUAUAUGCAAAGUAUUUUGAUUUAUUUGAAAAUAAUUGAAAAUAGAUUUUUCAAGGACGGUGUCGAGGUCACGGGGUCGGUGUCGUUUUUCGAAAUUUGUUAACUUAAUAUAAUAGAAGAUGUUUCGUUUUAAAUUAAGAAAUGUUAAAAUUAUUAAGCUAAAAACAUUUGAUUUUAAUGACACUUAAAAUUAGACACAAUAUUAUAGGUUACUAACUAAAAAUUGAAAAAACAACAAUAAAUAAUAAAAAAUAAUAAUAAAAAAUUGAAAAAAUCAAAAAAUUCUAAAAAAAUUGCAAAAUAACCCUUUUUCGGGUUAAAAUUGAAAAAAGAUGUUACAUAAAAAAAGUUUGUAAGAUUUUCUAACAGCAUAUAUGCAAAGUAUUUUGAUUUAUUUGAAAAUAAUUGAAAAUAGAUUUUUCAAGGACGGUGUCGAGGUCACGGGGUCGGUGUCGUUUUUCGAAAUUUGUUAACUUAAUAUAAUAGAAGAUGUUUCGUUUUAAAUUAAGAAAUGUUAAAAUUAUUAAGCUAAAAAUAUUUGAUUUUAAUGACACUUAA